rnacentral:rRNA from 1 species
UACAGAGGGUGCGAGCGUUUAAUCGGAAUUACUGGGCGUAAAGCGUGCGCAGACGGUCAUGUAAGUCGGGUGUGAAAGCCCCGGGCUCAACCUGGGAAUUGCAUUCGAGACUGCAUGGCUAGGGUGCGGAAGAGGGAAGCGGAAUUUCCGGUGUAGCGGUGAAAUGCGUAGAUAUCGGAAGAACACCAGUGGCGAAGGCGGUUCUCUGGGCCUGUACUGACGCUGAGGAGCGAAAGCGUGGGGGAGCAAACAGG